CACUUCUACUCAGUGUUUGCCAAAACUAGUCUCACGGCUCUGUUUCAGAAGUUAAUGUGUGAUUCACAUGAACUAAAUAUGCAAAACCACUUCGAAGAACUAUAAAGAAGCAGAUCUCAAACACAGCUCAUAAUCGAAAAAUACAGUUUUCUCAGCCCCACUCUACAACCCUGGAAUCAGGAUCUCUGGGGUAUAGUUGGGAAAUUUGCAUUUUUAAAAAUGUUCCACAGAAGAUUCUCAUUAUCAACAGGGAGCUAUUGCUGUGAACAAGGAGUGUUUUUAAAGUAGAGG